rnacentral:sRNA from 1 species
GUUAUGAAAUCCUCUCGUAUCGCUGGGUCGAGGUCUUGACCUACCCCAACACAUUGUUUGGGAUCUGAUUCGUCUAUGUAGACCUGCGUUAUCGAUGAUUUUUGAGGUCCGCAUUGAGAAGGAUCAGAGGAUCUGACUGUUUUCAUUUCCGCGAGUUUGUCUUCUAUCAUUAGUACUACGAGUUCAGCU